UAAUACGGAGGGUGCGAGCGUUGUUCGGAAUUAUUGGGCGUAAAGCGCGCGUAGGCGGGACGACGAGUCCGGUGUGAAAUCCCUCGGCUCAACCGGGGAAUUGCACUGGAUACUGGCGACCUUGAGUCCUGGAGAGGGUGGCGGAAUUCCCAGUGUAGAGGUGAAAUUCGUAGAUAUUGGGAGGAACACCGGUGGCGAAGGCGGCCACCUGGACAGUGACUGACGCUGAGGCGCGAAAGCAUGGGUAGCAAACAGGAUUAGAUACCCUGGUAGUCCAUGCCGUAAACGAUGGGUACUAGUUGGUGCGGGUAUUGACCCCUGCGCUGACGAAGCUAACGCAUUAAGUACCCCGCCUGGGGAGUACGGCCGCAAGGCUA
rnacentral:rRNA from 1 species